AGAAUUAUUCUUUUAUUAGAUUUCUUCAUAACAAUGAAAAGUACCACAAAAUUAUGGUGCAAUUUUUUGAGAUAAAUUUUAUGUCUGUCUAAAUUAUUCUACAAGUUCAAAAAACUAGAGAGAAACAGUUUUAAUCAGGCAAGAAUUCAGGAGUAUUGUUUUUAUGCAUUUUUAUUGAGGAAAAUGCUAGAGAUUCACUCUCAACUAAAUCAGAGAUGACCAAAGACAUCACAGCAAAAAGUGGGUAAUAGAAGCUAAAUAUAUUGUACAGGAAAAUUAAAUCAAGUAUGGAAUUACAAUAAAAUUUCAAUGGAAAAUUUAUAUACUCUGAAAAAUAGAAGAAAUGGUCUAAACAUUAGAAAAGUAAGAAGAGGAAAGUGCUAGAGGAAACAUAUAAAUUAUUUGGCCUUAUAAUAGAUUAGAUAUGAAGUAAAAGUAUCACUUAAAGCUGAGAAAAUCAAAUAAGAUAAGUAUAUUUAAUACAAUUAAGAUAAUACUGUUUAUUAAAAUCAGGUGAUGGAGAAAACUAGAAGAGAAGAAACCUUUUAUUUUUAAGACUCCUAUAAUAGUAGAGUAAGUAAAGAGAUAAGAGAGAAAUAGUGUGUAAAAUUCAAAUCCAGAAGCACAUACUAGAGAAAGAAAUGAGGAUUGUAAAGCUCUUUUCAAAUUCUAAAACCACAAAAGAAAUGAUCAAUAAGCAUACUUAACUACCAAACAAACCUUACUUGUCAAAAACAAGCAAAAGCAUAAAGAAAAGCAAAAAUGAUGAUCAGCGAAGGAUUUGCAGCUAUCAGAGACAAACGACUCUCUUUCCUUAUGACUAAAAAUCCCCUAUCAAUUGAUUGGCGAAAGACCAACUAACUCAGUACAAAAAUGAGCAAAGGGGCUGGGGAUUUAGCUCAGCGGUGCCACCACCUGCCUCACAAGCACAAGGUCCUGAGUUCGAUCCCCGGUACCAAAUAAAUGAGCAAAGAAUGAGAAUUGAAAGUUCAGAAAAGAAAAUACAUACAGUAGCUCUUAAAUAUAUAAUAUCCUCUGUCUCUUUCACAAGAGGAUCACAAAUUAAAACAACACUGAGGUCCCACUGAUGUCAUUUCUCACAUAUUGGAGUAGUAAAAACUGAAAACUUUGAUAGUGCCUCAUCAAGAUUUCUACAACAAAAAAGAAGGAACUAGUAAUAAUGGGGGACAACUGCACACCUGAAUAUUGCUAAAAUAAUCGUUCUUAAAUGUUCUCACCACACACACAUACACAAAAAGAAUGACCACAAUGGGG
rnacentral:lncRNA from 1 species